GGCCGGUAAUGGUUGAUGAUGGUGGUGUUGUUGACGGCGGUGGUGACGUUAAAUAUAAUUAGAAUAAUAGAGGUAGUAGGUGUGAUAGCAGUUGACAAUAGUGGUUGGUAGCAAUAUUUCUUGUCAAUGGUGGUUGUGAUAGUGAAGGUGGUUGCUGGUGGUAGCUGGUGGUUGACAAUGAUGGCGGUGACAAAGGUGGUGACUGAUUAUUAUGAAUAGAGUGGCGG
rnacentral:lncRNA from 1 species